GACGAACGCUGGCGGCAUGCUUAACACAUGCAAGUCGAACGGAAAGGCCCUGCUUUUGUGGGGUGCUCGAGUGGCGAACGGGUGAGUAACACGUGAGUAACCUGCCCUUGACUUUGGGAUAACUUCAGGAAACUGGGGCUAAUACCGGAUAGGAGCUCCUGCUGCAUGGUGGGGGUUGGAAAGUUUCGGCGGUUGGGGAUGGACUCGCGGCUUAUCAGCUUGUUGGUGGGGUAGUGGCUUACCAAGGCUUUGACGGGUAGCCGGCCUGAGAGGGUGACCGGCCACAUUGGGACUGAGAUAUGGCCCAGACUCCUACGGGAGGCAGCAGUGGGGAAUAUUGCACAAUGGGCGGAAGCCUGAUGCAGCAACGCCGCGUGCGGGAUGACGGCCUUCGGGUUGUAAACCGCUUUCGCCUGUGACGAAGCGUGAGUGACGGUAAUGGGUAAAGAAGCACCGGCUAACUACGUG
rnacentral:rRNA from 1 species